rnacentral:rRNA from 1 species
UUUAAUUGAAGAGUUUGAUCAUGGCUCAGAUUGAACGCUGGCGGCAGGCCUAACACAUGCAAGUCGAGCGGAAACGAAGAGGUGCUUGCACCUUUGGCGUCGAGCGGCGGACGGGUGAGUAAUGCUUGGGAAUAUGCCUUAUGGUGGGGGACAACAGUUGGAAACGACUGCUAAUACCGCAUGAUGUCUACGGACCAAAGUGGGGGACCUUCGGGCCUCACGCCAUAAGAUUAGCCCAAGUGGGAUUAGCUAGUUGGUGAGGUAAUGGCUCACCAAGGCGACGAUCCCUAGCUGGUUUGAGAGGAUGAUCAGCCACACUGGGACUGAGACACGGCCCAGACUCCUACGG